rnacentral:rRNA from 1 species
UGUUCGCCAAACAACUACGAGUAAUACUUAAAACUUAAAAGACUUGACGGUACUUCAUCCCAACCUAGAGGAGCCUGUCUAAUAACCGACAAUCCACGAUUAACCCAACCUCUUCUUGCCCUACAGUCUAUAUACCGCCGUCGUCAGCUUACCUUGUAAAAGAAAUAAAGUGAGCUAAACAGUACCACACUAAAACGACAGGUCGAGGUGUAACUUAUGAAGAGGACCAAGAUGGGCUACAUUCUCCAACUAAGAAUACGAACAACACCAUGAAAUUAGUGUUUAAAGGCGGAUUUAGCAGUAAGAUAAGAAUAAAAUACCUAACUGAAUAUAACGCAAUGAAGUGCGUACACACCGCCCGUCACCCC